rnacentral:RNase_P_RNA from 1 species
UAAGCAGGACAGGUGAUCGCGGCCGUAUUUAUACGGGUGAGGAAAGUCCGGGCUUCACAGGGCAGGAUGCCGGAUAACGUCCGGUGGAGGUGACUCCAAGGCCAGUGCAACAGAAAUAUACCGCCUCGCAGGAGGUAAGGGUGGAAAGGCAGUGUAAGAGACUACCGCCUGCCUGGUAACAGGCGGGGCACAUGUAAACCCCAUUCGAAGCAAGACCAAAACGAAGGCGCUAAGGUUUGCCCGACCAGCCUUCAGGUGGGUCGCUUGAGGCUAUUGGUAACAGUAGUCCUAGAUAGAUGAUCACUCAACGACAUAACCCGGCUUAUCGUCCUGCUUAUUUU